CCCAGGGCUGAGAUAAGCCUCCUUGUGGUGUCGAUAGGCAGGGGGACAAACAGGAAAUAUGAGCGCCAUUUUCCAGAGGAGACCAAAGCUCACAGAGGUUAAGGAAGCCACUGAGAGUCACAGAACAAGCCCUUGAUGGCCAGCACACCCUCACCUUUCUUCUUUUUUUUCCCCCUUCUCACCUGUGUCUGCUUUCGGGAACAGCAAACCCGACAGGUAAGAACCAGCCCUCCCCCCUGGAGGCUUCAGGCAAGAGGAAGAGGACAGGGAAUGGGCUGAUAGUGUGCCCACAGGAGAGGGGAUGCCCGGCUGCCCCCACAGCUUGUACACGUAUCUGUACUUGGUCCUGGAAACCCUAGUCAUACAGGUCCAUGGUCCUUUUCCUACCAUGCAUUCCUGGGGCCUGAAUUGUGUUCACACAUGAACAUGUGCCAGUACUAACUGGACUGUUCCGCUUGCUUCUCCUAAAGUAAACGCAAGGACUCAGAACCCCGCACCAAAUGCCUCCUGAACAAUGCUGACCUUGCCCCUCACCACCCCAAGGACCCUGUGGAAAUGAGACGCAUUAACUUCCAGACUCCAGGUAUGUACUUAUCCCUGGUACCAGGGAUACCACCAACAGGGGAGAUAGCUGGGGAGAAGCAGUAGCUGCCACCCUGGGGGCCCCUCAUUGGCCCCCUCUGAACUAUGCUUGGUGCAGCCACAUUCUUGAUUCCCAAAUACCUCCAACCCUACAUGGAUCUGGGCUUGGAAGGGAUCAUGCAGGGUCUCAUGUAUCACCCCUCGUGUAUUCUCUUCCCUUUCUUUCCUCUGUACUGAUUCAUGUUGCUUUGGUUUUUCAGCCAAAUGAGAAUUUUAAAUGUGCAUGUAACUGAUGGCUGCAGUCUCCUGAAGGGAUCAUGCAGAGUCUCACAAUUCCCCGCUAAUGUGCUCCCAUCUCAUUUCUGUCUCUGGACUAGCUUAUGUCUGUUCUGUUUCCAUCCAAAUAAGGAUUUUCAACAUGUGCAUUUAACUGAUGGUUGCUGUCCUCCUUGAAGCUCAUGGCAUGGGCCCAUAUGUCCUUUCCCUGCUCCCCCAGCUUCUCCUUCACCGUCCUGCAUCCUCCUUCCUCAGAAUGCCCUCUGCUGACCUCAACAGAGGGGACCCAAGGCC
rnacentral:lncRNA from 1 species